UCCGCGUCGCAGCAAACGUUCUGCCUCCGCAAUAUAAAUUUAGCACCGCUUCCUCCUCGCUCUCUCUCUCACAAUCGGCAAAGGCGCUGCCUCUUCGCCGGCCGCCGUCGGAUUCCUCCCUCGCCAAGAUCAGGUCUGUCUUCAAGGCGCUUCCUAGUAUCUCCUACUACUCCAACCGGCUGAUUCCUUUCAGUCGGCGUUUUCCGUCAGCAGAUUCGUUGAUUCUUGUUGGUGUUCGCUUCCUGCCGAUUAAUUCGAGCCAAAUCAGGUUGCAUAUUGAUUUCUCAGGAUAUAUACUUCUUCGACGUUGGGUGAAUUUCAGUGUUUCGUCCCUCUAGGUUUUCUCUUCGCUGUCGCCCUUUUCUUGUGUUUAGGGUUUCUUCGUGAAUACCCGAUUUUUAGGAUUUCCUCGCGUUAUGGCAGCUGGUCGGCAUAGUGGGUUUAGAGAUCUUGAGUUCUGGGACCGGGAGGCAGAUGUAGAGCUAUCGGGGAGGAAGGAUUAUUACCGGGAUCGUUUACAUGAUGGCGGCCUCCGUAGGUACGAAGGACGGGGUGAUCAAGAUUUGCGUGAUAGGAUUGGGGUUGCGCAAAGAGGCACCAAGAAUAAGGAAGUGAUUAAUGGCUCCCAUCACACCCUCUAUUCGAGCAAUUCUAGUGAGGGAAGCAAGAACAGUCAGAAAAUGAAACGUCACUCGGGGAAAGACGUGGACCGAGAGACUGGGGAGUUGUCCAGUGGAAGCGGAUCAGAUGAUGCUCAAGCACCUAUCUCGAAGAUCCAGGAGAAUGUGUCACAGAAUCAGGACAAUGAGAAUUACUCGAUGGAUAGCAAGAAGCGCAAAUUCUCUCCAAUCAUUUGGGAUAGAGAUGACACUAAGCGAUCCACUGUUGCCACUUCUAGCAGUAAGAACACUAGGAUUGACAAUGAUACCCUGCCUCCACCACCUCCACGGCCUCAGGGGUUUGUUCCGCCUUAUUCUCUUGAUGAUGUUUUACCAUCUGCUAAGAGUUCGUCACCUUUUGAUUCAGUUGCCCCUGUCGAGCCAUCCCAAUACUUUCUGGCAAGUACUAAUCAGGAGGAAAAUCUGGUGGAUGAUUUUGAAGAUGAACCUAUGCCAGCUCGGAGUAUCUCUUUUUCCAGAUGGGCAGAUGGAAACAGUUCUUUCGAUGAUGGAGGUGAAAAUUUCAAGGUGGACGUAGUGACUAAAAGGAAAAAGGGUAGCCCUUUGUCUGGUUCAGCAGGGCAGCAUUUGCACAAGAAAAUGGGUACACCUAGGUUAGUCGAGGUUAACAUGGCAGAAAUUUCUGGAGUGCCUUUGGCUAAACUAUCUGAUUCAAGGGAACAUGAAAACCAUGAUGGCGAUGCUGAGUUGGGAAUAAAUGAUGAUAUGGAUGUUGACCAUGUUGGGUCUAAUGGAAGUUCUAGCAAUCAAAUUUCUGAAACAGACUCCGAAGAUGAGGACCAGAAGUCUGAGACACCAGAUCCAGCACAACCACCUAUAAGAUGUAUAAAUAUGUUGCAGGGUUGUAGAAGUGUUGAUGUGUUUGAAAGGCUUAAUAAAAUAGAUGAAGGUACCUAUGGGGUUGUCUACAGAGCAAAGGAUAAAAAGACAGGGGAGAUAGUGGCACUGAAAAAAGUCAAAAUGGAAAAGGAGACUGAGGGUUUUCCUCUCACUGCACUUAGAGAGAUAAAUGUAUUGUUAUCUUUUCAUCAUCCUUCAGUUGUGGAUGUUAAGGAAGUUGUUGUUGGUAGCAGUCUGGACAAAAUUUUUAUGGUUAUGGAAUACAUGGAACAUGAUUUGAAGGCACUGAUGGAGACCAUGAAACAACCAUUUAGUCAGAGUGAGGUAAAAUGCUUGAUGUUGCAGCUGUUUUCAGGUGUCAAUUACCUUCAUGACAACUGGGUACUCCAUAGGGAUUUGAAGACAUCAAAUCUUCUUUUAAACAAUCGUGGAGAAUUAAAGAUAUGUGACUUUGGUUUGGCUCGCCAAUAUGGAAGUCCUUUGAAACCAUACAGUCCAUUGGUGGUCACAUUAUGGUACAGGGCACCUGAACUUCUACUAGGGGCCAAGGAGUAUUCCACUGCUAUUGACAUGUGGUCUUUAGGGUGUAUAAUGGCAGAGCUUCUAGCAAAGGAACCAUUAUUUAAUGGGAAAUCUGAACAUGAUCAACUUGACAAGAUAUUUAGGACACUUGGUACUCCGAAUGAAAAGAUAUGGCCUGGAAUUGCUAAACUACCUGGUGCUAAAGUUAAUUUUGUCAAGCAACCGUACAACAAGCUACGAGAAAAGUUUCCUCCCACAUCCUUUUUCGGACGUCCAACCCUUUCUGAAGCUGGAUUUGACUUGCUAAACAGACUUUUGACAUAUGACCCUGAGAAGCGAAUAACUGCUGAAGCUGCUCAAAAUCAUCCCUGGUUCCAGGAGGUUCCUUUGCCCAAGUCAAAAGAUUUUAUGCCUACUUUUCCUGCUCAACAUGCUCAAGAUCGACGUCAAAGAAGAAUAAUGAAGAGCCCAGAUCCACUUGCAGAACAGCGGAAGAAAGAACUGCAACUAGGUGACCUCGGCCUUUCUACCCUAUUUGGUUAGACAACAGAUGCAAACACUGCACAAGGUUGCUUUGGUCAGAGAAUACCUAAACGACACUUUAUUCAGUAACUUCCUUGGUGAGAAAUUCACGUGACAUUGUGUAACUUUGUUAGUGUCAGACAACAAUUGAUGAUGCUGUUUAGCAGGAUGAUCAAUUCCCUAUGAGACAUGUAUAUGCAACAUUUGUCUGGAAAAUUAGUUGAUCAGUUGAUGCGGUGGGUCAUUGUUAUACCUGGUGUCAAGCACUCAAUAGCUUUCUACUCAAAAGGUAAUUCAUUGUCAACUGAUGUUUAAGAUCAGGAGAAGAAUCACAUUUCCAUCAUUUUCUGAGUAUAUCGCUGACAAACUACUUUACUGUAUAUAUUUUUAAGAUUUGGUACUUCAGAGAAUUCUCUCUUUUUAUUUGUUUCUCACACACUUGUUUUAGGUGAUUAUGUAAGCUCAUCAUCUACCAUGUCACUGAAAAUUUUGUGUAUUUUGUAAUAUAUGGAUAGUUGGUGUUUUUGGAAUUUGACAAAAAUGCUUAUUGAAUAGUUGAUGAUCAGCUAACCUGUCCUAGCUGCUAACGGCAAUAAGAUCGUGGUUAGUGAUACUAGACUCUAGUAGAAAUGAUUCUUUAAGAAAAUUUGCACCUUAUGGAUACCUUAUGUUUUUAACCUCAAAACUAAAUUUUUGUAAUAACUUGCAUGGUUAAUGACUUCCUCUUCCUUGAAUAAAUGUGUUACACUUAUCUCAUUAAAGCACUUGACCAAUUCACAUGUUUAAUAUUCUUAAAAGCAUAUCAUGACUAUUUUUUUGUUAUAUCAUAAUUUGAACCUUAAAUUGAAAUUGUCAUCUGCCUCAGGAAGAUGAAUGUUUGCCCAUAGUUCUCCAUUUCAAUUCCCUUAAGCUGUCCGUGAAACCAAAUUAAGCCAUCCUUGAUGGCUAUUGCUAGACAUCCGAGGAUAGAUUUGUCACACAAACCUGCACCCAACACCCUAAGCAAGCAUCACAAUAUCUUAUAACAACGUUCCAGAAGCAUUGGAGUAGCCAUUCCUUAGAUUGAUCCAUCCUACCUCUGGCUGAUACCAACUUAUUUUUGGUGUAUUAUCAAGGAUGACUCCUCAGAUUACAUGUGCUUUUGGUAUACUUGGUAGUCAUAUUAAGAAUUUUGUUGCAGGUUGCAUGUUCCCUUUCUAGGAUGCCCAACAAUUUCUUGUACUUUCAAAUUAAUACGUCAAGCCAUUGCAAUUAAAAGAGUUUAUGUUAGGAUGGAUUAGUCUAGCUUGUUUCCAUUGUUGGAAGAAUUCAAAUUGCACAUGUUGCCAUGUAUGGAACUUCUUUUUCCAUGAUGCUUUGGUUACUUGACUGUAUCAACUCAUUAUCCGACUUGCACAACCAUUUGACACACAAGAUCACACACACAAGAUCACAAUGCUUAGCCGCAUAAAAUGUGAAUGAGUGGAUACUUUGGGAGCUUGACUUCUAUAAAACAACUCGCACUACAAUGCCAAGAUCACUGGUGUCACCUUAGCCAAGUGUCUGACCAUCAUACUGUCCAUUCUCUAACAUUGCAUUUUCACCUCAGCAACAUUUUUAAAGAUGCUGGUGUUUAGUCACUUGUUACAAUUUUGUAUUAGUUCGGUUGUUGCUUUACCAUGCUGGAGAAAGACUGUCUGAAAAUUGGGGGUUCCAGCCGGCUGCAUCAGGUUCUUCUUACUCUAACAUUAGCUUACAGGAUGAAGUGAGACGGCAAGCGACGGCUGCGUGGGAUCUCACCUCAAUUAUGUCAAUGCAUCACAGCAUCAGGCUAUCAGUUAAUUAUUGGUAUAUUUUUAUAUUCAAUUGCACAGAUGUCCUGAGGUCGUUGCUUGCCUUGUAAUGUAUGUACUGUGAUCUCGAUAUAGAUACUUUUCGUAGUCGUGUAGGUUGUUUUAAUCUUCAUUAUUAUUUAUUUUGCCUUUUA